rnacentral:misc_RNA from 1 species
CCUACUGUAACAUGUUUAAUGUCUUUCAGAGGGAAGCGCCUUGUCUUUUGAUGAUUAUAACAUCAUGCGGGGCUACAUGAGCAGCUCGCAGGGGUUGGAGCAAUACGGUACCCCUCUUCCGAACCGGUGUCGAGGACCGCCCAUGGGUUCAGCUCAGGUAUUGCGUGGAAGAGGGUCUGGCCAAGGUUCGCAGCGCGUGUUUUGAGGUUCUACGCCGCGCCCAGCGCCAAGUGGCUCCCACAAGGACGGCGAGGAUUUCUGGAUCCAUGGACCUUGCACUCGACACCCGCCUCAGCACACCUCGACGAUGCUUCAGAGAUGCCCCUUGAACGUCAUUGCCACUGCUCGCAGUUGCCUUCCACAACCAUAUCCCGGGAGAAUGCGCCCGAAAUCGACUUGCGCCCAGCGAUCGUCAACGCCACAGCCUGCCAGCAGACCACAGCUGCUGUAGGAUGCUCUGCCUUGUAUCCCGGGCUACCACUGCCACGCAUGCGUACAAGUGCGUUCGUCGUGCGAGGCACGUGGUCCUUUUUGUUGUUGCUGCUCGUCGCGACAGGCUGGAGCAUCCGCUACGUCGCUGAUUGGCGCAACUGCUGGACAGGGAGGCAUGGCCACACGGCCAGGUUGGGCAGUGCCGAGCCCGGUGCCAACUGGUCAUCGAUGGGAACAGGCAGAAUUACACUGGAAGUUAAACUGCCUGGGUGUCGUCAACGGCUCGCCACUGUGCUUUCGAGGGGCUGCCACCGACGAUGUCGCGAAGAAAACUGCCCUGUACUUGAAGAAUUGAAUGCGUGUGUUUUAUGUAACGUGCAUCGCAGCUUAAUGAGGCAGGUUCGAGUCGCGUGGCAAAGGGAUGGUGGGACAGGGAAAUUACUUAUAAUUUGCGUUCUUCGUUUUCAUAAACAUUAAAGUUUCAUGUAAUACUUAGAGACAAUAAAGUCGGUGAUGAUGUGUAGUGACAA